UUCAGUGAGCUAGAGACUUGAGGCAACUGUCUGGCUUGUUUACAAUGAUGGCUAUCUUGAAGUACAUUAUCAUUCUGAUGGUGGCCGUGUCCUGUAGUCAUUCGUUCGUAUUGUGGCAAAAUUAUCCAGCCAAAGGCACCGCGGAUGAAGCAUGCACUUUGCCAAAUGGCCGCAUACUUCGAAAUUUACAGGCUACUACUCACCUUGAAAUGUGUGCUGAAUAUUUAUGCUGGAACACGUCCGGAUCCACCAUUGUAAUGUAUUGCCAGAUCACACUCCCGUUCCAGGAGUGCAACGAAACUGGCGUUGACACGUACAAACUAUUUCCCGAAUGCUGUUUUCAAUGCGUCUACUACACUGAUUGUUAAGUUAAACAUAUGAGCAAAACAACAACGAAUUCAGAACUGUACUCGUAUAGGAUUGUUUAUUUAAAAAAACCAUCACAAGUGUUAUGUUUUAAGAG